ensembl:lncRNA
AUGGCACUUUUCCUGUCUAUGUGGAGCGGCUGGCUGGUUGCUGGCAGAAUUGUUCAGUUUCAAGUCUGGGAUAUAAAAAGCCAAAGAAGACCCAGGAACUCACCAUUUACUCCUUCCUCAGGUCUCACGUUCACUCUCUGGUCUUUUCCUUCUGUCCGCAUUUCAGAGUCUUUAUAUGCUUUGUAUGUAAUGUUCAGAGUUUUGUUAGUGCUUAACAGAAGGAAAGAGAAAAAGUACUUCUACUUCAUGUUAACCAUAAGUGGAAGUCUCCUAUAUGGCUUUUAAAAAAUAUUUAAGGUAUAGUAUUCUCAUUAAUUUAUUAGAAUUAAUAAGGCUGCAAUGUCCUAUUUAUUGACCAAUCGAAACAAAUCAUAAAGUCAUUCUUCUUUUCAAGCUAGUGGUAGAGAUGGAGUAUUAAGGCUCUUCAGAGCCUGACAUUGUAUUGUUGCUAAAUAAUAGGUUUGCAAAUAAUACAAGAAUUGACAGGGAAAAUAUCAUAAAGAAAUUGAGUUGACAACAGAUUGCUUGUAGAAUAAUGACUCAUGUUGCCUGUACAAAUCCCCCCACUCUAAUAUUUCAUGAAGAUGUACAUGGCUGAAGUAAAAAUUGAGAAGUGUGAACAGAAGAUAAUAUAUUGUUGACAAGACAUUAUUAUUACUAUGAGUUAUUCUCACCUAUCUCUGAAAUUGUUUAAUAUAACUUAAAUGUCAGCACCAAACAAAAUGUCAUCUAUAUAUGACCCAUUCAAUGUUUACAAUUAAAUUUAACAAUUUAAUCCAUGUUAUUUCAUACUUUAAAGCAGAUUUGCACAAUUUGUUUAGCAUAACAAUUUUGUGCCAUUUCCUUUACUGAAGAAAAUUGAAUAUAAUUUGGAACCAUCAAGAUUGAAAAAAGAAUCUGGGUUGGUUUGGAUGUUCGUUCCCUCCAAGUUCCAUGUUGAAAUGUCAUCCCCUGAGUUAGAGGUGUGGUCUGGUCAGAGGUAUUUGAGAUGUGGAGGUGAAUCCCUCAUGAAUGGCUUGGUGCCUUCCUCUUGUUAAUGAGUGAGUUCUCACUCUGAGUUCAUUUGAGUCCGAUUGUUUAAAAGUGCACAACGCCUCCCCACUGCCCUUGCUCUCUUGCCGCACGAUGCACCUGCUCUUGCUUCUCCUUCCAUGAUUAUAAGCUUCACCAGAACCCAAACAGGUGCAGGGGCCACACUUGCACAACUCUCAAAACUAUAAGCCAACAAACCGUUUUUCUUUGCAACUUACCCAGCCUCAGGUAUUUCUUUAUCAUGUUGCAGGAACAGACUAAUAUAAGACCCUCAAUAUUAUUAUAUACUAAGGAGAUGUUUGUUUCAUAAAUCAUAAUUGUAUAUUGGGUUUUAUAUAUUGACAUUCAAUAUCUAUUAUCUAGAAGUAUUUGCUUCACUGGUUCUUGUUCCUUUUCAUUACUGUGUAUACAGGCAUUUCAAUGAGCAGAAUUGACAGUUAAGGAAGCCUUUCAAGAAAUGUUACCUGAUUGAUCUAACUUGAAAAGACAUAUGCUAACUCGAACUACAAUAUUUUAUGUUUAAGAACUGAAAUGAACUUAUGGGGCUUAAACUAUGUCUGUGAAAUAAAAUAUAACCUUUUCCGUUUUUAUAUUUACUUAUAUUAUAUUAAUAUUAACAUAAUGUUACUUAAAUUGGUUCAUAAAUGUAGCAGUUUAUAAAGGUUUGUUAAAUUCGAAGUAAACUAUUUUAAAUGAUUCUCAUACAGAUUAUUGGAUUUUGAACCCAUAUAGGUGUGAUGAAUACUAAUGCUAGAAAUGACAUUUGGGUUUAUGAGCAGAGAGUUUCUGUAGUGGAAAUAGUUUGGCUUUGGAUGGUACAGACUCGGUUUUGAAUAUUCAGUCCUAGAUGUUUGAUUUUUAGUUCUGUCACUUGACUGCUAUCAAAUAUGUUGCAUACUUUAUAAAAUGGCAGAGAGGUGGGUUAUGAAUUUUGCAGAUGUGGGUGAUUACGAAUAACCUUUUUUUGAGAAAGAACACCUCAAAGCAUUUUAAAAAGUAGUCUCACUCAACAUCCAGGAAAACAAAUGUGAAAAAAGAAACAACCCAGCAUCUAACCAUCUCCUACCUGGUCUCCAGGCACACCUGACUCAGUUAAAGGAGGCUCACAGCUGCAGUCCUGCAGCGGCUGCUGGGGGCCUUCUACCCAGUGUAGCAUUUAAAGUGCAUUUGGAAAAUUAAAUACAGAAACGACUUAUAGAAAUCAUGCAAGUGUUAUUUAUUUAAAUAAUACAAAUAAAAGUGCAGCUAGCACAAACAGCUGAUAGUUGAGUAGUUUCCAGAAAAUAACUUUUAGGUCUUGCUCCCCAGCAACAUCCAAAGCGAAACUAAGAUUUGACAGUCUGAGGCUUGAUGCAGGAGUGAACACGAUGGUUUGCGUGCACUUCCAGAACCCUGAUGGAUUUAUCCCCUUCCUUUUAAAAGAAGCGGAAAUAGAGACUACAAGUAAUCUGAGCACGUGGAACAUCACUUUCCUAAGUUCUUGCUCAGCAACAAUAACAGAAAGCUCCUCCAGUGAUUUUAAUUGUUAGAAACCGUCUCCAAUUUUAUUUAAAAUCAUAGGUUAACAGCAGAAAAUAUUUCUCUGACGAUGACAUGAGUUGAAGUGGAUUUUAGAUAAACACACAAAGUUGAGACGGUGAAAUGUAUCACGAAACAUCAACAGAAAAUUCAAAAAAUGGUUUCCUAAUGGAGUUUCUGGAUUAUUAAGGAAGUAUUGGAGCGCCAUCUUCUGGGGAGAACAGAACAUGCCUUUCUGAAUUUUCAGUUUCAGGGCAAGAACACAACUGUAUUUUUAUUGCUCUAAUAUUUUAAACCACAUACUUUAGAGAUGAUUACAUUUUCAUAGUUACAAAGAUUUGUUAAUAAAAAUGUGUAAACACCACAUGGCCAAUUAUCAGGAGAAGGCGAAGUGCAAUUUAAAAACAGAAUACAGAAAUGGAUUAUAGAAAUCAUACAAGUGUUGCUUAUCUAAAUAACACCCAAUAAAAGUACAGCUAGCAUAAACAGCUGAUAGUUGAGUAGUUUCCGGAAAAUAACCUUAGAUCCUGCUCCACUACUAAUGGGAACAGCUGUGGUUGGAUAAUUCCAAGUGAUAUUUGAGAACGACAUAAAAUUUACUGUAAGCUCAGCUGUACCAUACAACGAAGUCUUACCCUCUAUAAAUAAAUGCACAAGUCCUACUUUAUAUAACUAAACUUGGAACAAUUAUUCGUGUAGCUGAGCCUGGAUAUGUGCUGAGGACACUGUAUUAGUCUUACGGAUAUACAAGAUGGGAGGCCAUUCCAACACAUGCAGGGACGCAGAUGUUCCUUCAUUGUUUGCUGUCGGUCACCUCACUGACAAACCUGAUUCACAUGUACUCUGAAUAGUAAUCUACAGAACUAGAAAAAAAUGUCAUUUGAACAAACAUACGGGACAAUGCUAAUUGAUCCUAUUUUGUGUUUUUUUUUUUUUUUUUUUUUUUUUUUUGAGACAGAAUUUCACUCUUGUUCCCCAGGCUGGAUUGCAAUGGCAUGAUCUCAGCUCACUGCAACCUCCACCUCAUGAGGUUCAAGUGAUUCUCCUCCUGCCGCAUCCUCCCAGAUAGCUGGGAUUACAGGCGCGCACCACUGUGCUAGGCUAAUUUUGAAUUUUUAGUAGAUAUUGAUAAGUGGGUUCACCAUGUUGGCCAGGCUGGUCUGGAACUCCUGACCUCAGGUGAUCCAUCCACCUCAGCCUCCCAAAGUGCUGGGAUUACAGGUGUGAGUCACCACACCCAGCUUAUUUUCCGGAUUUUAAAAAUGAAAAUUACAUAAAUACUCAGUGUAGGUGAUAUUCUUGGGAUAUAAAGCAUAUGAUUUCCUUACACUCAUUGGCCUUACUAAAAUACUUUAACUAGUUUUUAAUGGACAUUUUUAUUUAGAUAAUUGUAAAGUUAAAUGUAAUUAUAAGAAAUAACACAGGCAGAUCUCUAUCAUAUUUUGCUUGGCUUCCCGAAUGGUAACAUUUUACAAAACUAUAUAUAAUAUAACUAUCAGGACACUGACAUUUAUAUAAUUCACUAAUCAUAUUUAAAAUUUUCCAGUUAUAUGUGUUCUCAUUUACAUUGUAAGUUAAGUCCUAAACAGUUUUAUUAUCUAUGCAGUCUCAUGUGCUCCAUUUUUAUCAGGUUUUGAGAUCAAAUGGAGCCAUCAUAGAGAACACGUAGAUUGAUUUGCCAUUUUCAAAUAUCCGUUAAGAAUCAACUUUUUAUUCAUCUUGACAAACACUAUGUAUUAUUAUUAUUAUUUAGUAUAUUACUAAAAUACUUUAACUAGUUUUUAAUGGACAUUUUUAUUUAGAUAAUUGUAAAGUUAAAUGUAAUUAUAAGAAAUAACACAGGCAGAUCUGUGUUAUAAUAAUAAAAUAAUUAUUAUUAUUUUUGAGAUGGAGUCUGGCUCUGUUGCUCAGGCUGGAGUGCAGUGGAAAGAUCUCGGCUCACUGCAACCUCCACCUUCAGGGUUCCAGCAAUUUUCCUGCCUCAGCCUCCCAAGUAGCUAGAAUUACAGGUGCCUUCCACCAUACCAGGCUGUUUAUUUUUUAUUUUUAGUAAAGACUGGGUUUCACCAUGUUGUCCAGGCUAGUCUCAAACUCCUGACCUCAGAUGAUCCACCCACCUUGGACUACCAAAGUGCUGAGCUUACUGGCAUGAGCCACUGAGCCCGGGCUACAAACAGUAUAUUUAAAAUAUGACACUGAUUAAGAUUUAAAAGAAAAAAAAAGAAUAGUAAAGGAGGCCAU